GACGGACGCUGGCGGCGUGCUUAACACAUGCAAGUCGAACGGAAAGGCCCCACCUUUCUGGGGUACUCGAGUGGCGAACGGGUGAGUAACACGUGGGUGAUCUGCCCUUCACUCUGGGAUAAGCCUAGGAAACUGGGUCUAAUACCGGAUAGGACCGUGCUUUAGUGUGUGCGGGUUAAAGUUUUUCGGUGCAGGAUGAUCCCGCGGCCUAUCAGCUUGUUGGUGGGGUAGUGGCCUACCAAGGCGGCGACGGGUAGCCGGCCUGAGAGGGUGGACGGCCACAUUGGGACUGAGACACGGCCCAGACUCCUACGGGAGGCAGCAGUGGGGAAUAUUGCACAAUGGGCGGAAGCCUGAUGCAGCGACGCCGCGUGGGGGAUGACGGCCUUCGGGUUGUAAACCGCUUUCGGCAGGGACGAAGCUUUUGUGACGGUACCUGGAAAAGAAGCACCGGCUAACUACGUG
rnacentral:rRNA from 1 species